GCGCCCGUAGCUCAGCUGGAUAGAGCGCUGCCCUCCGAAGGCAGAGGUCACACGUUCGAAUCGUGUCGGGUGCGCCA
rnacentral:tRNA from 1 species